GAUGAAGAACGUAGCGAAAUGCGAUAAGUAGUGUGAAUUGCAGAAUUCAGUGAAUCAUCGAAUCUUUGAACGCACAUUGCGCCCGCUAGUAUUCUGGCGGGCAUGCCUGUCCGAGCGUCAUUUCAACCCUCAAGCCCCCGGGCUUGGUGUUGGGGAUCGGCGAGCCUCCGCGCCCGCCGUCCCCUAAAUCUAGUGGCGGUCUCGCUGUAGCUUCCUCUGCGUAGUAGCACACCUCGCACUGGGAAACAGCGCGGCCACGCCGUUAAACCCCAACUUCUGAACGUUUGACCUCGGAUCAGGUAGGAAUACCCGCUGAACUUAAGCAUAUCAAUAAGCGGAGGA
rnacentral:misc_RNA from 1 species